UGGGGAAUAUUGCACAAUGGGCGCAAGCCUGAUGCAGCCAUGCCGCGUGUGUGAAGAAGGCCUUCGGGUUGUAAAGCACUUUCAGCGGGGAGGAAGGCGUUAAGGUUAAUAACCUUGGCGAUUGACGUUACCCGCAGAAGAAGCACCGGCUAACUCCGUGCCAGCAGCCGCAGUAAUACGGAGGGUGCAAGCAUUAAUCGGAAUUACUGGGCGUAAAGCGCACGCAGGCGGUUUGUUAAGUCAGAUGUGAAAUCCCCGGGCUCAACCUGGGAACUGCAUCUGAUACUGGCAAGCUUGAGUCUCGUAGAGGGGGGUAGAAUUCCAGGUGUAGCGGUGAAAUGCGUAGAGAUCUGGAGGAAUACCGGUGGCGAAGGCGGCCCCCUGGACGAAGACUGACGCUCAGGUGCGAAAGCGUGGGGAGCAAACAGG
rnacentral:rRNA from 1 species